AUUGAACGCUGGCGGCAGGCCUAACACAUGCAAGUCGGACGGUAACAGGAAGAAGCUUGCUUCUUUGCUGACGAGUGGCGGACGGGUGAGUAAUGUCUGGGAAACUGCCUGAUGGAGGGGGAUAACUACUGGAAACGGUAGCUAAUACCGCAUAACGUCGCAAGACCAAAGAGGGGGACCUUCGGGCCUCUUGCCAUCGGAUGCGCCCAGAUGGGAUUAGCUAGUAGGUGGGGUAACGGGUCACCUAGGCGACGAUCCCUAGCUGGUCUGAGAGGAUGACCAGCCACACUGGAACUGAGACACGGUCCAGACUCCUACGGGAGGCAGCAGUGGGGAAUAUUGCACAAUGGGCGCAAGCCUGAUGCAGCCAUGCCGCGUGUAUGAAGAAGGCCUUCGGGUUGUAAAGUACUUUCAGCGGGGAGGAAGGGAGUAAAGUUAAUACCUUUGCUCAUUGACGUUACCCGCAGAAGAAGCACCGGCUAACUCCGUG
rnacentral:rRNA from 1 species